UGGGGAAUAUUGGACAAUGGGCGAAAGCCUGAUCCAGCAAUGCCGCGUGAGUGAUGAAGGCCUUAGGGUUGUAAAGCUCUUUUACCCGGGAUGAUAAUGACAGUACCGGGAGAAUAAGCCCCGGCUAACUCCGUGCCAGCAGCCGCGGUAAUACGGAGGGGGCUAGCGUUGUUCGGAUAUACUGGGCGUAAAGCGCACGUAGGCGGCUUUUCAAGUCAGGGGUGAAAUCCCGGGGCUCAACUCCGGAACUGCCCUUGAAACUGAAUCGCUAGAAUCCUGGAGAGGCGAGUGGAAUUCCGAGUGUAGAGGUGAAAUUCGUAGAUAUUCGGAAGAACACCAGUGGCGAAGGCGGCUCGCUGGACAGGUAUUGACGCUGAGGUGCGAAAGCGUGGGGAGCAAACAGG
rnacentral:rRNA from 1 species